rnacentral:lncRNA from 1 species
AACCGUGUUUCACGAAUUCGUUUAUAUUUCCAAAUCAAGAUGACCUAACGAAAUGGGUUUACUCGAAUACUAAAAAGCCAUCCCAUACUCGAUAUGGAAGACUAAUUUCUUUGAAUUUCAUCGUUUUUUUUUUCUUUCUUUUUUUUGGUCUUUGAAACCGUCAUACUAUUAAGCUAUCGGGAAGAUAUUCGCUUAUAGGAAAAGCAAAUCGAGACCGAUGUGCCUUUGGAUUUCAUCUAAAUGCCAGCUUUGGGGAUUAUAACCACAGUCCACAGCCAAAAUAAACAUUUCGAGAGGACAAUAUUAUCCUAGUUCUGUAUUGGACGUUUUAUGCAAAUAAACCAUUCAAAUCGUCAAUUUUUGUAACUCUACCCUGCAUAUCCAAAUAU